UCGACAACAGUGACACUCGCGUAGAGGCACACCACAAAGAACAAAUAGUGUGUGAAGCCCGGGUGCAAACGGACCAUGAAAUAGCAAACAGUUCCAGAAAGAAACGUGAUCAAUAUCAGGAAUGGCAUCGCGGAUAAGGUGUUGCUCACGACGAAUGCAGUAACACCAUAAUGUCCAUUUAAACGGACCAUGAAAUAGCAGACAGUGCCUGAUAGGAACGUGAUUAAUAUCAGGAAUGGCAUCGCGGAUAAGGUGUUGCUCACGACGAAUGCAGUAACACCAUAAUGUCCAUUCAUCCUCUCUCUUUGAAAAACCUGUUUUCAACGGGGGGAAAAUGGCUCAAGUUGUUAUAUAUAGUGUGCUGUCAAAAAAUUGGAU
rnacentral:lncRNA from 1 species